GAGUGAGUGAGUGAGUGAGUGAGUGAGUGAGUGAGUGAGUGAGUGAGUGAGUGAGUGAGUGAGUGAGUGAGUGAGUGAGUGAGUGAGUGAGUGAGUGAGUGAGUGAGUGAGUGAUAUGUGUGGCGCUCCCUCUCCUUCUCACUAUACACAUUGAUCUUAUCCGAUCACGGUUGUGGUGUUGGCGCCUGCGCCCUCCGUGAGGUGACGAUCUCUCUCCGGUGAUGCCUCCUCCUCUGGGGGGCGCUGUACCUGGAGUCCGGUCUCAGGCGCCGCUCUGGAUGUGAUGAAUUGAUCAGAUAUACUAAACCGCUCCGGUGGUUCAUGAGUAUAGAGGCGAUUCUGAUCCGG